AUAAUGUAGUGUGUGUGUAUAUAAUGCAGUGUGUGUAGUAUGUGCAUUAAACACACACACACACACUACAUUAUAUACACACACACUAAAUUA